rnacentral:rRNA from 1 species
GUGUCAGCAGGCCGCGGUAAUACGUAGGGGGCAAGCGUUGUCCGGAAUUAUUGGGCGUAAAGCGCGCGCAGGCGGUCUUUUAAGUCUGAUGUGAAAUCUCGUGGCUUAACCGCGAGCGGCCAUUGGAAACUGGAGGACUUGAGUACAGAAGAGGAGAGUGGAAUUCCACGUGUAGCGGUGAAAUGCGUAGAUAUGUGGAGGAACACCAGUGGCGAAGGCGACUCUCUGGUCUGUAACUGACGCUGAGGCGCGAAAGCGUGGGGAGCGAACAGGAUUAGAAACCCCAGUAAUCC